CAAGAAAUAGCAUAUAAAGUGUGUUUUGUUUACACCAAAAUGGAGAUGAAUGUCUUUCUUGU
rnacentral:tRNA from 1 species